GCAGCAGACUCCCACCGAGCAGGGAGCCCAAAGCAGGACUGGAUCCCAGGACCCCGGGAUCAUGAUCGGAGCCGAAGGCAGACACUUAACCAACUGAGCCACCCAGGCACCCCUAGAUACUGAGUUUUAACAGCUGCGCAACAGAAAUUGCUGACGUUAACUUCUUCAUGCAGAUCUCUAUCAUCACUUUUCAAUAAUCGUGGAUAUGGUUCAUCUAUGUGUUGCCAUAGCACUUCCCCAAAGAGCUGUUACUAAUUUAUAAUGCCUCCAACAUUAUAUAAGUGAGCCAAUUCUGCUGCAACACCAGAAAAGAGAAAAGCACCAGAAGACUGCAGUAUUGCAGCCUAGGGAGUCAGAACGGUACUUGCUGCAUUAUUCAUUGGGUUAAUAACUCCUUCUGGAAGCUUCCUAAGAAAGCUCAGCCGUUCCAGAAUCUAGAGUGCAAGUCUCUUCUGCUGCCCAGAACUACUAAGUGAGGGAAGAGAUUCUGGGACGCCCUCGGCUGUGCUUGACUCAAUAGUGGAAAUGACAUAAUUGCCCACUGUUUAUAAAAGAAUUGGACAUCAGCCCAGGUUACAAUAAUGCAAAUGAAAAUUAUGUGAUUGGAGAGUUAAUUUGGUUUCCUGGUGACUCUGAAGAGUACAAAGCAUCGUUGAGCGUUUCCUUUGGAAAGGUCUUUCUGCUGUGGCCCAGAGCCCUGGCCCAGAGAAGUGAAGUGACUUGAUUGAGCUUACACGGAAGCUAGAACCUCUGGUUCCUGGACCCCAUCACGCUGUCAUCUGUCCUGAAUUUGAAUAUAAAUGAACCUGCGAUUCUCGCCUUCCAGGCUCCAUCCCCCAAUUGUCCACCUCUUCCCAGCCUGGAUGAUUUCCAGAAUACAGCUCUGGGAACGCUUUCUGUGUGGGGAGUUGGUUUCCUUUUCCUACAUGGCCUCCAACAAGAACUCUGGGCCUUUCCUCUCUGGGAACUCAAAGUACCACACCUCAUAGGGGCCUGAGCAGUAGAGAAAAUACUUGGCCAGAGCACAAGUCCUUCUCCUAAGAGGAGACUGGAAAUGUUAGAAACUAGGCCUUUGUGAAGACGGACGAUUGGACUCCAUCAGAAAGGCUUUUGGUUUAAUACCUCACUACUAUUUUCUGGGAUGAUUAGGUGAAGAAGGAACUGACAUUUGAUUAACACAUCCUAUGUAGUACGUACUCCUUCAUUUUAUUUCUUAAAAACACCUGUGGGGUAACAGAUUUGGAAACGGAGGCCCAGAGAGGUCAGGUAACUCCACGAGCCCCCACAGCUAAGAUGUUACUCACUGACCCUCAAAUGGGGUUGGAUGGUGGCUGGGGGGCACCUGGAAUGGUCAAUCAGAAUCCCCCGGAAGUUUCUCCAAACCACUCAUGCUAUGUGUUCCACUGACAACAACUGUACCCGCUAGAGCUCUCUGUAGGAUCUGUGUCCCUGGGUGCCACCUCAUGGAUGUCAUAGUGUGGACAUGUGUCAACAAACUUGUGACGUAUAGUAGGCGGUAGAUCGAAAUCCAUGGAAAGGCACCAAAGACAAGGAAGAGAAGCAUCUGGAGAAAUUCCUUAGGGAAGAAGAAAUAGAAGAAUCCUAAGGAUUGGGACACAGGGGACUAUAACUCAAGGCCAGAGAAGUAGUCCUCGUGGGUGGGAAGGUACAAGGGGGCAGGGAAGGGUGUGGCUGGAGGGGAGAGGGCAUGGUGCGGGCUUGGGGGGGCGGUGGGGGGUGGGAGACUUGUGGUAGAAUCUGUUUCCCACCCUGAGAAUGGAUAGACAACAGCUACAGCAGGUCCAGCACUUGACCUAGUGCUGCCUGUGUGGCCUCAGGCAAGUCACAGCACCUCUCGGGGACUUGGUUUCUUUCCCUUUAUAAGAGGCAUAAAAAUAACCUUCUCCAACUACCUCUGAGGGGGAAGAUGGUAACCGACUGAGUUAACUCCUACAGAAGGGCUUUGUAAAUUGUGAAACACCAUACAAAUGUCUCACAGGGACUGUUGGGUACAACACUAAGUUCUAAUCCAUGAUCACUCAGAAUUUCAGCCCCUCAGUUUGUUCUUGGCUUGUUGACAAGGCAGCAUUUGAUGCCCAUUGAGAGUGUGCAUAUUAGACCCUGUCAUGGGGUAAGCCCCCUGUUCCUGUUAGUGUCCCCUACCCCAGCUCUGAUGUUGUAUCCUCAGUCCCUCCAGAUGCAUCAGCCACAUAGAAAAUACCCUCUGAGGCUUGUCUGACCACCCUUAAAAAAACCCAGCUCUUGUUCUUAAAUAAGUUUUGGUGAAAAGUUCAUUCAUACAACUAAAACACAUACUGACCUAUAAGAAUCCCUAGUCUCCAAAGUGAAGCCCCUACGUGUCCUCCCCAGAUGCUUCCCCUUGCCUCUGAUAGCCUCACUUUGUGUCAAUCUUUCUUGUGCUUUUGAAAAAUAGCUGCCUCACAUACAGAUUAUCCCUAAGAAAUAGAUUAGUUUUUCCUGUCUCCGAACUUUUAGAAGGGGCAUUGAUCGUAUUAUAAGUAUUUUUCUAGAACUUGCUUUUCGCAUCCAUGAUAUCCCUGUGCUGACAGAUGCAACUGCAGCUCAUUCAUUAUCACUGCUGUAUAGUAUUCCAUGGCGGGAAUGUACUAUCAUUUACUUAUCUGUCCUACAGCAAAUGGACGUUCGGGUUGUUUCCAGCUCGGGAAUAUGACAAACAAUACUUGCGUAGGUCUCCUGUUGCAUAUGUGUAUCUAGAAGUGGAAGUGCUGGCUCACAGAGCAUGUAGUCUUUAAUUUUACAACAUAAGGCCGUACUGUUCCGACUGGUUACACCACUUAAUGCUCCCACCAACAGUGUAUGAGAAUUCUUAUUGUUCUAUACCUCUGCCCCUGCACUUGAUGACCUUUUAAAUUUCCACCAACCUGGUAACUGUGGACAAGGCAAACUUUAACUAGUGAGAGAUAGGAAGUAGGAAGGUGCCGGCAGGUAAGGUGCUUGCAUCUCCACAGAAAUCCCACCUGACCCCAUAACCAGCUGCAGCCAGCUCAGUGGCACCGUCCGUUUUGGUUAGAGUUGCAUUUCUUUAUUACUAAGGAGGUUGAGUAUCUUUUUCAUAUGCAAGAGGCCCUUUUGUCUUUAUCUCUGAUGCCUGUUCAUGUUUUUUGCCCAUUUAAAGAAUUAAGCUGUCUAUUCCUAUUGAUUUGCAGCAGUCCUUUAGAGAUUCCGGACACUAAUUCUUUGUCAGUUGUGUGUGUUGUGGUGAUUUUCUCCCAGUCUCUGGUUUGGCUCAUCACUCUGUGUGGGAUGUUUUUCUGAUGAAUAGAAGUUCUUAUUUUAGUGCAGUAAAACUCCAUCUUUUCCUUUGCCUUUUGGUGUCUUAAGAAAUUAUUGGGGGGGGGCGCCUAGGUGGCACAGCGGUUAAGCGUCUGCCUUUGGCUCAGGGUGUGAUCCUGGCGUUGUGGGAUCGAGCC